GCGUCAGUGAUGAUUUGAGUUCUUUUGUCGGAUACCCCUUCACUCUUCUCUGAGUGAGACUCUUAUUCUGACACGC
rnacentral:snoRNA from 1 species